rnacentral:rRNA from 1 species
UAGGGAAUCUUCGGCAAUGGACGAAAGUCUGACCGAGCAACGCCGCGUGAGUGAAUAAGGUUUUCGGAUCGUAAAACUCUGUUGUUAGAGAAGAACAAGGACGUUAGUAACUGAACGUCCCCUGACGGUAUCUAACCAGAAAGCCACGGCUAACUACGUGCCAGCAGCCGCGGUAAUACGUAGGUGGCAAGCGUUGUCCGGAUUUAUUGGGCGUAAAGCGAGCGCAGGCGGUUUCUUAAGUCUGAUGUGAAAGCCCCCGGCUCAACCGGGGAGGGUCAUUGGAAACUGGGGGACUUGAGUGCAGAAGAGGAGAGUGGAAUUCCAUGUGUAGCGGUGAAAUGCGUAGAUAUAUGGAGGAACACCAGUGGCGAAGGCGGCUCUCUGGUCUGUAACUGACGCUGAGGCUAGAAAGCGUGGGGAGCAAACAGG